AGGAAAAAUAGUUAUCAUCUGUAGUAUAGGAGUUGGUAUCUCGGGGUAGUAUAAGGAGGAUGGGAGAGGGGAAGAAAAUGCCAGACUGCGAUAGUGCUGAGCCGGGAGCCAGACUACGAUACUGUUGAGCCGAGGGCCAGACUGUGAGAGUUGUGAGCCGAGGUAAGCUUGAUGCUACCUCUUUUCUUUUGUUUGUUAUUUUCUUCGAAUAAGAGGAUUGAAAGUUUCUGAAUAUUGUGAAGUGAAUUAUGGAAUGGAAAUGUGAUUGAUAUUAUUUGAGAAGAAGAAAGAUUGAAUGCUGAAAUCUGAUU
rnacentral:lncRNA from 1 species